rnacentral:lncRNA from 1 species
CUGCUCAAGGAACAUUGGUCUUCAAACUCAAUUAGUGACAAAGAUGCUGUCAAAGUUGUCCUUUGCUCUGUGUAGCAGAUGACUGACUAUGGGACUUUUUCCUUUCAGGAAGGAAACGGCAACAUGAAUUCGUAGAUGAUGAGUAGGAUGCCAAAGCCAGAGAUGACAGUGCUCUUGAAGAAAUGCUGGGUAGAACAAAAAGAUGAUCAUGGGAACAGCAAUGGCAGUCAUGUAAAAAUCUUUUUACCGAAGAAGCUGCUCGAAUGUCUACCAAAAUGUUCAAGUUUACCCAAGGAGAGGCACCGCUGGAACACUAAUGAGAGAUCUUGAUGCAGACGUCCUUUUGGAUUUCUUUUUAAUAAUGUGUGACCCUUCACCUUUGACCCCCUGACCUGCAUUACUUUGGUGUAUCUUUUCUGCUGUGAAGGUGUGCUGGUGGCUUUUCUCAAAUAAAAACGAUUUUGGUUGUUGUAAGAAGAAAUAAAGUUUGUGCUCCUCAUUGGCUUUUGCUUUUUAAGUUCAACGCUGUGCAUUUCCCUGUAUCCCAGCACAUCGCUUCUGCCUUGUGUUCUCCCAAGACUUUAUCUGAUUUAUGUUGUCAUUUCUGUACAUCGUUGCUUUGAACUUGCAUUUCUCUACGUUUCUUUUGGUCAGUAAUACAUACGUGAUGUUUGCUGUGGUUUUUCUCUUUGCUGGUCAGCUUUUGGUAGCUCACAGCAAUCACAGGGGAUUUAAGAUUCUCUUCUGAAUAAAAAAUAUUUGUCGUUGUUACAGUUCUGUUCCAUGUCCUGGAGAUGACUGUUCGUAAUGCUCAGCUGAAAACCAAUAGCUGUUCUAAUAAAGGCAUUUGAGAC